rnacentral:rRNA from 1 species
AUUGAACGCUGGCGGCAGGCCUAACACAUGCAAGUCGAGCGAGCGGCGGACGGGUGAGUAAUGUAUGGGGGCUGCCAGAUGGGGAGGGAUAACUACUGGAAACGGUAGCAAAUACCGCAUACUAUCGGAUAAUCCAGAUUGGGUUAGUUAGUGGGUGAGGUAAUGGCCUACCUAGGGGACGAUCCCUAGCUGGGCUGCGAGGAUGUUCAGCCACACUGGGACGGAGACACGGCCCAGACUCCUACGGAGGCAGCAGUGGGGAAUAUUGGACAAUGGGCGAAAGCCUGAUGCAGCCAUGCCGCGUGUAUGAAGAAGGCCUGAGGGUUGUAAAGUACUUUAAGUCGGGAGGCGUUACCGACAGAAGAAGCACCGGCUAACUCCGUGCCAGCCGCCGCGGUAAUAC